rnacentral:rRNA from 1 species
UUGGAGGGCAAGUCUGGUGCCAGCAGCCGCGGUAAUUCCAGCUCCAAUAGCGUAUAUUAAAGUUAUUGCAGUUAAAAAGCUCGUAGUUGAAUUUCGGAAUCUGUCCUUUGGUCGGGCUUCACUGUCCGUACUGGUGUGAUGGGUUUCUACCUUCUGAAUAACCGGCAUGUCAUUAAUUUGGUGCGCCGGGGAAGCAGAACUAUUACCUUGAAAAAAUUAGAGUGCUUAAAGCAGGCUAUCGCCUGAAUAGAUUAGCAUGGAAUAAUAAAAUAGGACGGCAUGGUUCUAUUUUGUUGGUUUCUAGGAUCACCGUAAUGAUUAAUAGGGAUAGUUGGGGGCAUUAGUAUUCAAUUGUCAGAGGUGAAAUUCUUGGAUUUAUUGAAGACUAACUUCUGCGAAAGCAUUUGCCAAGGAUGUUUUCAUUAAUCAAGAACGAAAGUUAGGGGAUCGAAGACGAUCAGAUACCGUCGUAGUCUUAACCAUAAACUAUGCCGACUAAGGAUCGGACGAUGUUAAUUUUUUAAUGACCCGUUCGGCGCCUUACGGGAAAC